CGGAUAAAAGCUACCCCGGGGAUAACAGGCUUAUCUCCCCCAAGAGUUCACAUCGACGGGGAGGUUUGGCACCUCGAUGUCGGCUCAUCGCAUCCUGGGGCUGUAGUCGGUCCCAAGGGUUGGGCUGUUCGCCCAUUAAAGCGGUACGCGAGCUGGGUUCAGAACGUCGUGAGACAGUUCGGUCCCUAUCCGUCGUGGGCGUAGGAAAUUUGAGAGGAGCUGUCCUUAGUACGAGAGGACCGGGAUGGACAUACCUCUGGUGUACCAGUUGUCGUGCCAACGGCAUAGCUGGGUAGCUAUGUGUGGACGGGAUAAGUGCUGAAAGCAUCUAAGCAUGAAGCCCCCCUCAAGAUGAGAUUUCCCAACUUCGGUUAUAAGAUCCCUCAAAGAUGAUGAGGUUAAUAGGUUCGAGGUGGAAGCAUGGUGACAUGUGGAGCUGACGAAUACUAAUCGAUCGAAGACUUAAUCAAAA
rnacentral:rRNA from 1 species